rnacentral:piRNA from 1 species
UGCUCACCAGUGCUUUUGUGUAAGUUGGUU